GAGAGAGAGAGUAAGAGAAAGAAAGAUAGAAACCACUGCAUGUUGCCACCAGAGAUCGCCGGAGCCACCACAUGCCAGGGCAUCGUCAAGCUCGUCAUCACCGUCAACCGCAUCUUAGAAUCGCCGGAAACCGCCGCCUCUUAAGCUUUGUUUUCGUCCGUUCAGUAAAUCAGCUAUAUCUCCCUAACCGUUGAGAAUCUCUCGCAUGCAAGACCAUCAACGUGUUCCUCUCGUCGAGACGAAGCCGUAGACACCAACCACGCCGUAAUCGGAGCUCAGACGAAGCCGUACGCGCCUCCAAAAGUUACGCCGACUGCGCGCGUUUCUUCCACGCGCCGCCGCCGGAUAUCGCCUCCGCCGUCUUCCGCCACCGUCCUCCGCCGCAGCUCCGCCGCCGCCGGGAAUCGCCUCCGCCGUUGCCGCCGGCGAACUUUCCGGUAAGACGCCGCCGCCCUCCGCCGUCGCGGUCGGUGACCGAAACCGGUGACUUGCCGGUGACUCGGUCAACUCGGCCGAGUCAACUCGGUUGACUCGGUAAACCGGUUGGUUGACUGGUUUGACCGGUUUAAAUUAAUUUCGGUUCGAUUAAGGUAAACCGGCCGGUUAUGUCAAAUCGAUUUCUGGUCAAGGGUUGACCGGAUUGACCUUUGACCAGCGAGUUGACUUUUCCGCAAACCUUGACCAGUUCCGUUUUUAACCGUUCGAAAGGCGUUCUGACUCAGAAUUUCGAUCUGAUUUCAGAUAUGGAGUCUAUUUGAGCAGCUGGAGUUCAUAAACACUACUUUUCUAUUGCUAAGGUGAGACAAAUAAGUAUGUGAUAUUUAGACGGACUUGGUGCUACUGGACUUUCCCUACGGAUUUUUAUUUGGGUUUUGGGUGAGCGUUAUUGGGUUUAUGGGCUUUUAUAUUAUGGAUAUUGUUGGUGGCCCGUCGUCCUUAGUGAGAAGGAGACGGAUGUCACAUUGUUGUAUGAUGACGCGUCGGGGGUGACACGCUGUCCUCCAGAUAGGAGGUGACGGGUGUCGCAAUUUUGGUAUCAGAGCGGGGUUCCAUCCCGGUUCCGUCCGGGAUGGCGGUCAGGGGAUUCGGUUUUCAUCGGUUUUCAACGUUCUUUUUGUUUUUUUUUAAAAAAAAUAUUUAUUAAUAUAUUUCGAAAUUCUUUUAGCACCAUUCUGUCCAGUGAUUACUAACUCAAAUGUCUCUUUCUAUGACGAUGAGUAAAAACAUCGUCAUUCGUCCUUCGACUAACAGGGUUCUCGCCAGAUGUUCAGCAGUUGGGCGAUGUUUAAGUUCGUCAGUUUUCUCAGGAGUUAUCAGUUUCUUCGGUCAUGAUUUCGAGGUUAUCCAGGAGUGGACAUGUGACGUUUCUGCCACCAGCCCACUUCAAGCAAUCGUUCCACGAGUUUAGUUUUGUUACUGGAGAUUAUGUGAUGUGAGGUAUGAGCCAUUGGUUGGCAUGUGCACGAGUAUAUUGACUAUUUUGGAGGUAUAUUUGUUUUGUGAACUCGUGGAGAUCGCUUUUGAAUUGGGGUGCAGCAGCUUGCGUUGUGUAGAUGUUGGAGUUACACUUUGGUAUGUUUACCAAUUUUGGCAGUGUUGAUCUUUUCAGAGAUGUGUCAGUUUGGACAACUGACAUAGGACAUUGGAAGCUA